UGAGGAAUUUUGCGCAAUGGGAGCAAUCCUGACGCAGCAACGCCGUGUGGGUGAAGAAGGCCUUCGGGUCGUAAAGCCUUGUCAGGUGGGAAGAAGGGUCCUAUCAGGAAAGGGGUGGGAUUUGACGGUACCAUCAGAGGAAGCACCGGCUAACUCCGUGCCAGCAGCCGCGGUAAUACGUAGGGUGCGAGCGUUAUUCGGAAUUACUGGGCGUAAAGCGCGUGUAGGCGGGGGAGCAAGUCUGAUGUGAAAGCCCCGGGCUUAACCCGGGAAGUGCAUUGGAAACUGUUUUUCUUGAGUACUGGAGAGGAAGGGGGAAUUCCCGGUGUAGAGGUGAAAUUCGUAGAGAUCGGGAGGAAUACCAGUGGCGAAGACACCCUUCUGGACGAUUACUGACGCUGAGACGCGAAAGCGUGGGGAGCAAACAG
rnacentral:rRNA from 1 species